GCUAAGUGUAACAGACUGUAACCAAAAGAGAUGCCUGGUAGCUUCAUGGUGCUUAUGAAGAACCAUUCUAAUCUAAAGAAGACCUUUACAAAACUUAAAAAGACGGAGUCAAAGAAAACAGCGACACUUUAACCAAUUGUCAUGAUCGUUGGAGAUUCUUACAAGAUGGAAGUUGUCAAAAGCAGCCACGUUUUUAUAAAUGAAAUUGUGUUAGACUACAAGGAUUCGAUGUCAGCAAUCAA